GCAGCCCCUUAAAAUUGUAACAAAAUUUUAUUUAGACACUUUAACUAUGACCUUUACCCAUUCAACAUUUGAUGUUACACACAAGUGUAUCUAUUGAACACAUUUUGCUGACAUGUAAAUAUAUGUGUUUGUCAUCUCUUCCAAGCGCGUGAAUAGCCUAAAACUUUUAUUACUUCCGGAAAAUGACUAGAUACCUUUUCUUCUCCGGCCACCUUCCCUUCUCUUCAAGUCUGGCCAUCAUCACACCACAUCCCUCUCCGUCGUCAGAUCCGACAAUCACCACAAGUAUUACCUAUGACUUAUUCGGAUUGCACCAGAACUGCCCAUCUCCUAUUUCAUCUAAGGUAGGUCUGAAUCACCCAUGCUUUAAACACCAAAAAAUAUAAAAUAGGUGUCUAAAAAGAACCAUCAGUAACCAUCAAUUUAUUUUUCCUUGCUACUUUCUUUUCUUAUUACGGUAUGUUUGUUUUCGUUUGCUUAUCUAUGAUUGAAGGACCACCUUUCCUUCUCCAUUCAAUAAAGAUCUGAAGAAAAAAAGGCAAAAAAAAGGUUAGUAGACAUGGUUUACGGGAGAAAAGAAAAGAGAAGAAAGGAAUGGUAUAUCUAAUGGGACUUCACCGGAAAAUGCUUUACGGUCGGCCGAUAAAUUUCUCGACCUUUCUCGCCCACUGACACCUUCCCUUCCACCGGCCGCCACCUGCUUUCUCUUUCUUAUUUUUUGGGUCAAAUUUUGACUAUUUUUUUGUACCUUUAUAUUAUUUUCCUGUCAUGUAUUAUUUUAAUUGGUUUAGUUUGCCACUUCAAAAGAGAUUGAUGUACACGCACUAGAGCUGGUUUGGAAUUGUCAAAUUUGUGUUCAAUAGAUACUAUUAUGUGAGACAUUAAGUGUUCAAUAGGUUAAGGUCAUAGUUAAG
rnacentral:lncRNA from 1 species